CAUCGAGUUCAACAAGAUAAAUCAAAAGGCCGAAUCUUCAGCUGUGAGAGCCUGUAGCGUGCAGGUUGCUAAGGAUCGUAAAGCAAAGAGGUCAUUUUUGAUCACUCACCAUGGCAUUGAAAACAUUCUCAAGAAGUCUUCCAAGACUGAAGUCACUGGCAUCUUCUUCUGAGGACAACACAAUGAGGGUGAUACUGGGAACAACAAACAAGAGAAAUUGAUGAGUGCAAAAUAUUUACAGCAGAUAGACAGAAAAAUAUAUUUCCCAUAUUUUGCAAGUUUUCAAAUUAUGUAGAAGAAAUCCAAUAUUUCAUCAAAGUUUACUGGAACUUGAAAAUCAUUAAGAAUAUAUAAGAUAGCUGCAAGAGAUUGAUAAUUUCUCUGAAUAUCCCCAACUCAGCUGGAAUGUUCACAGUCAGUAAAAACUACUUUGUGAAGUACGAAAUUGUCUUAUAUUUCCUUCUACUCCCUGGCUGUGUUUAUAACAACUCUGUAAAUAGGAAUUUGUACCUCAAGUUGUUUUUUUCUUCCUUCAUUCCAACUUUUCCCAUUUUUAUACUGUGUAUUUAAGAGCUCUGGAAAUCUAGAAACAUAUUUAGUUGAAAAGAUGAAUAAAAACUAUUGAUGUGUCCCAAUUUGCUAUGUUAAUCUGAAAUAGUUGAAAGAAUUUUUCUACAUAUAAAAUACAUUUUGAAGAUUAAUAGAACUGGAGAAUGAAAUAAGGUUCCCAGUUUUGUUUUCAGCUCUUUUCAUUCUAGCCAUUCUAGUUUAGAACAGAAGUCUAAAAGAAAGACAGCAUAAAUAAUGUAUCUUGAAAUGGCAAGAAUAAAGAACAAAUUUCUUAAACCUAGCCUAACUCCUCCUCCUAAACUGAAAUAAUUGCACUUCAGUGAAACAUAUUGUACCUCCCUGAACCUAAACAAGUAUGAGGAAUGAAAAAAAAACCUUUCUCUAGACUGUCUUACCAUGCAUUAAAAGUUAUAAUAACAUCAAUAUAUGUCAGAAUGUCUGCUUCAAUAAGAAGGCCCAAUGUUGUAUCAUGAAGGAAUGGGAUAUACAAUAAAGAAAAUAAAACUGAAUUGUGGA